CCUUAUUAAAGUCAUCAAACACACAGGCCUAUAUUAUGUAUGUUUGACAAAGUGACACUAUUUACUUUAGCAUUAUUUGUUAGUGAUAACAAGCCAAAUAAUUUUGAUGAUUUUUAAUAUGAUUUUUUGCAUAUAACUUCAAUUACUUCUUGAGAAAAAGUGUUACUAGUGUGCCAAUAAAAUAUCAGAAAGUGUAAGCGUAACCAUUUUCAAAAAGAUAAAUUCCCUUGAAGAAUUUUAUGAGCUUGAAACCACGUUAAAAGACAACAGGGAGUACAGUAAAUUGCUUUGUCUCCUCAUAAAAGCAGGUGGAAAAAUGUUAAAGAAAAUACAUGUUAUGGUCAGAAUUAUGGAACAUCAUGUUAUUGCCAAGUUGAAUAUGAAAAGCAAAAUUCGUGGUGAUAUGAAGAAGGUAUCAUUUGAAAAUAAAAAGUUGUGUAAAGCAAUAAUUGAAGUCAUUCAGCUAAUGCACGAGUCUUAGAAGUCAAAUAGGAAGCAUUUUAAGGGUCUCUCCAUUUGUUAAUGGUAACAAAAAAUUUAUUGAGGAAGCAAGU